UGAGGAAGAACCAUCAAGCGAGAGCUUGAUUCAGGAUGGUUCUGACGAAAGGCCGCCGAACGAAGGUGAGGGGGCAAUACAUU
rnacentral:sRNA from 1 species